CCUCUUUUAUAUCGUAUUUGACCAAUCCUCGUGCCGACUCGGCCCAUGCUCAACUUUGUCCUCACUCAUGAGUAAGUCAAUCUCCACUCUCCACAUCCUUUCACAAGAAGUUCCUUAUUUCUUGGAGAUCCCAAACAAAUUAGAGGGCAUAGAGGAGAGAGAAAAACAGUGAAUUGGGGGGCAAAAGAGCAAUACCCAAGAAGAGUGUCUCCCAUUGCAGCACCAAGGCAGGGCCCUCUUUAGCGCCGGUGUCUCCGCGAUUGCAAUACUUGGUGUGUGUGAGUGUAGGAAGAAGGGUUUUUAUCUCAGCUCAUUUUAUUCCUAAUGCCGGCAAACUGUUUGUGUAAAUGCGUGAGAGAAGAAAAAAAAAUAAAUAAAUAACUUUAUAGAAUCCCCUUAAUUCCGAAACUUCUUACUUUCAACCCUUCUCUUUCACUGACAUUCUGGAUUGCUGUUCCCAAGAUUUACCCUUUUCUUUCUCUCUCCUCCAUUUUCACCUGACCCCACUUCACCUUCUUCUUAAAGGUUGAAAGUUAAACAUCUUUGUUAUGCAUCAGCUUAGAAAGUUUGCCUAGCGCUACAGUCUUGUCAAUCAUAUAAGCAUAUAUGUAUCAAGUAGGCGCGACAGCCACCAUGGAGCAACAACGGAGCUUGCUCAUGUUGGUGACCAAUGUGACGAUAUCCAUGGAUCCACCGCUACUUUCACAAGUAAGAAAUAGUUUGGUAACUUACUAACCUUAGUCGUUAUUAUUUAUUAACUACUGGUCUUUGUUUACAAUUAAGUAUGAAGGAAAAACCUAUCAUUAUGGUUUCAUUGAUUGGAAUGUAUAUAAUGUUUGCUGCCACACCAAACGGAUAAAGUGACCGUUCAACCCACUUCACGAGGAUUCUGCUUGUGACAAGACUGUUCUAACCUUUGUGUAUGUUUUCUUAUCCCAAAAAUUAAAAUAAAAUAAGGUUCAAAUGUACGCAGUUUUACUGUGUUGAUCCAUGAUGCAAUGACGGCGUAAUAAUCGAUGGCCACAAUAUCUGCACGAUUGCACGCAAUAUUUAAGGGAAUGCGGUGCUUAUAAUGCUUGUUUGAACACCAUGCAAGAGCAAGUUCACUUGAAUUUUCAAGACUGAUACUAUAAAUCUAUGCUACAAGUGGUUGUGUGCUAGCACAACAACUGAAAUUGUAUAAGAUAUGUACAUAUAUAUAUAUAUAUGGUCAAUUAAGAUGUUACAUAACUCAAGUAAUCAGAGUUCUUAGAUUUGUAAGAGCAUGUACUUUUAACGUAUCAACUUAUUAUUUUGUUUUACUAAUACACAAUUAAAUGUAUCAAUGGUUAAACUUGUUUUUUUAGAGAUUGCAAAAGUUAAAUAGUUCAAACACUCA